GACGAACGCUGGCGGCGUGCUUAACACAUGCAAGUCGAGCGGUAAGGCCCUUUCGGGGGUACACGAGCGGCGAACGGGUGAGUAACACGUGGGUGACCUGCCCUUAGCUCUGGGAUAAGCCUGGGAAACUGGGUCUAAUACCGGAUAUGACUCCAUGACGCAUGUUGUGGGGUGGAAAGCCUUGUGCGGCUAGGGAUGGGCCCGCGGCCUAUCAGCUUGUUGGUGGGGUGAUGGCCUACCAAGGGCGACGACGGGUAGCCGGCCUGAGAGGGCGACCGGCCACACUGGGACUGAGACACGGCCCAGACUCCUACGGGAGGCAGCAGUGGGGAAUCUUGCGCAAUGGGCGAAAGCCUGACGCAGCGACGCCGCGUGAGGGAUGACGGCCU
rnacentral:rRNA from 1 species